CGCAUCUGUGCAUGCAGCAUAUCAAUAAGCGGAGGAAAAGAAACUAACAAGGAUUCCCCUAGUAACGGCGAGUGAAGCGGGAAGAGCUCAAAUUUGAAAUCUUAAAGGGUUUCCCUUUACGAAUUGUAGUUUAAAGAAGUGUUUUCUGUUGAGGUUUUGGUAAAAGUUCUUUGGAAUAGGACAUCAUAGAGGGUGAGAAUCCCGUAUUUGACCUUUACUUUCAACUUUGUGAUACACUUUCAAAGAGUCGGAUUGUUUGGGAAUGCAGUCCAAAAUGGGUGGUAAAUUUCAUCUAAAGCUAAAUAUUGGCGAGAGACCGAUAGCGAACAAGUACCGUGAGGGAAGGAUGAAAAGAACUUUGAAAAGAGAGUUAAACAGUACGUGAAAUUGUCAAAAGGGAAGCGUUUGACACCAGUGUUGUUUUUCUGAAAAUCAAUUAAAGAACUGUUUAUGCUAAGUUGUUUAGACUUUAUCAGCUAACUGUUUAGUUUUGAGCUUUUCUUUAAUGCACUUUUCAGUUAACAAGUCAACAUCAAUUUCUUUUGCUGUAAAAAAGCUUGAGGAAGGUGGCUUGAGAUUCGUCUUAAGUGUUUAUAGCCUCUUGCCUAUGCAGUCGGAGAGAUUGAGGUCAGCAGCGUAGAUCCUUCGGGGCUAAAUGCAUUUGUGCUAAGUUAUAGCAUUUUAUAGACAACUUGUUGACUAUGAUUUGUCUUGUAGCUUACUCGCUUAUGUUAUUUUACCUACGCUUAGGAUGUUGAGUCGUAGAGCACGCAG
rnacentral:rRNA from 1 species